rnacentral:ncRNA from 1 species
UAAAGGUUUGGUCCUAGCCUUCUUAUUAAUUGAAGCUCCAUUUACACAUGCAAGUAUCAGCACCCCCGUGAAAAUGCCCUCUAGCACUCAAAUGAUAGAGGAGCAGAUAUCAGGCCCUAUCUUAGCCAAAGACAUCUUGUUUAGCCACACCCUCAAGGGAACUCAGCAGUGAUUAACAUUGAAAAAUAAGCGCCCUAAGCUUGAACCAGUCAGAGCUUGAAGAGUUGGUCAAUCUCGUGCCAGCCACCGCGGUUAUACGAGAAACUCAAAUUAAUAAAAUCGGCUCAAAGGGUGGUUAAAAGCAUAACAACAAUAGAAUUAAGAAUUAACCCUGCUGUCGCACGCAAGUUAUACAUAAACACAAUGCCGAAAGGAAUUCUAUCAUACUUGAACCCACGACAAUUAAGAAACAAACUAGGAUUAGAUACCCUACUAUGCCUAAUUAUAAACUUUGAAUUAUCCGCCAGAAUACUACGAGCCACAGCUUAAAACUCAAAGGACUUGGCGGUGCUCUAUAUCCCCCUAGAGGAGCCUGUUCUAUAAUCGAUAAUCCACGAUAAACCUCACCAUCUAUUGCUAAUACAACCUAUAUACCACCGUCCAGCCCGCCCUUUAAAGGAUAAAUAGCAGGCACAAUUAUAAACGUAAAAACGUCAGGUCAAGGUGUAGUUUAUAAGAUGGGAAGAAAUGGGCUACAUUUUUUAAUUUAGAAAAAACGAAGGAUUUUAUGAAACUAUCUUCUAAAGGAGGAUUUAGCAGUAAAAAGAAACAAGAAUAUUCUUUUUAAGACGGCAAUAGAGCGCGCACACACCGCCCGUCACCCUCUUCGAAUAAUUUACAACAUUAAAUAAAGAGAACUUACAAAUAAGAAGAGAUAAGUCGUAACAUGGUAAGUCUACCGGAAGGUGGACUUGGAUAUAU